CAGCAGCCGCGGUAAUACCGGCGGCCCGAGUGGCGGUCACUAUUAUUGGGCUUAAAGCGUCCGUAGCCGGGGUGGGAAGUCCUCCGGGAAAUCUGGCCGCUUAACGGUCAGAAUGCCGGAGGAUACUCCCAGCCUAGGGAGCGGGAGAGGCCGAGGGUAUUCCCGGGGGAGGGGUGAAAUCCUAUAAUCCCGGGAGGACCACCUGUGGCGAAGGCGCUCGGCUGGAACGCGUCCGACGGUGAGGGACGAAGGCCAGGGGAGCAAACCGGAUUAGAUACCCGGGUAGUCCUGGCUGUAAACGAUGCGGACUUUGUGUCGGACAAGCUAUGAGCUUGUCCGGUGCCGGAGGGAAACCGUUAAGUCCGCCGCCUGGGGAGUACGGCCGCAAGGCUGAAACUUAAAGGAAUUGGCGGG
rnacentral:rRNA from 1 species